AUGCAAGUCGAACGCGAACGGCUCCUUCGGGAGCCUAGUAGAGUGGCAAACGGGUGAGUAACGCGUGGGUAACGUACCCUGAUCCUGGGAAUAACCCUCGGAAACGAGGGCUAAUACCGAAUGUGGCGAACGACCGGUUGGUCGCUCGCUAAAGGUGGCCUCUUCUAUGCUGCCGGGUUGGGAUCGGCCCGCGUCCCAUUAGCUAGUUGGUGAGGUAACGGCUCACCAAGGCCACGAUGGGUAGCCGGCCUGAGAGGGUGUACGGCCACACUGGCACUGAGACAAGGGCCAGUCCCCUAUGGGAGGCGCAGGCGGGAAUAGUUCACAAUGGGCGAAAGCCUGAUGACGCGACGCCGCGUGAGCGAAGAAGACCUUCGGGUUGUAAAGCUCUGUCAGGAGGGAAGAAGGCUCUACGGGUCAAUAGCCCGUGGGAUUGACGGUACCUCCAGAGGAAGCCCCGGCUAAAUACGUGCCAGCAGCCGCGGUAAUACGUAUGGGGCAAGCGUUGUCCGGAUUUACUGGGCGUAAAGGGCGCGUAGGCGGUUUGUUAAGUCGAAGGUGAAAUCCUCGGGCUCAACUCGAGAAUUGCCUUCGAUACUGGCAAACUAGAGUGGCGGAGAGGAAAGCGGAACUCUUGGUGUAACGGUGGAAUGUGUAGAUAUCAAGAGGAACACCGGUGGCGAAGGCGGCUUUCUGGACGCACACUGACGCUCAGGCGCGAAAGCGUGGGUAGCAAACAGGAUUAGAUACCCUGGUAGUCCACGCCAUAAACGAUGGGUACUAGUGUCGGGGUAUCGACCCCUCCGGUGCCGCAGUUAACGCACUAAGUACCCCGCCUGGGGAUUAUGGUCGCAAGGCUGAAACUCCAAAGGAAUUGACGGGGCCCCGCCACAAGCGGGUGGAGCAUGUGGUUUAAUUUCGACGCAACGCGAAGAACCUUACCUGGGCUUGACAUG
rnacentral:rRNA from 1 species